rnacentral:rRNA from 1 species
CAGUCGCCGCGGGAAUACGUAGGUGGCAAGCGUUGUCCGGAAUUAUUGGGCGUAAAGCGCGCGCAGGUGGUUUAAUAAGUCUGAUGUGAAAGCCCACGGCUCAACCGUGGAGGGUCAUUGGAAACUGUUAAACUUGAGUGCAGGAGAGAAAAGUGGAAUUCCUAGUGUAGCGGUGAAAUGCGUAGAGAUUAGGAGGAACACCAGUGGCGAAGGCGGCUUUUUGGCCUGUAACUGACACUGAGGCGCGAAAGCGUGGGGAGCAAACAGGAUUAGAUACCCCAGUAGUCCCUGUCUCUUAUAU